UACGAAGGGGGCUAGCGUUGCUCGGAUUUACUGGGCUUAAAGGGCGCGUAGGCGGAUGUUUAAGUCGGGGGUGAAAGCCCGGGGCUCAACCUCGGAAUUGCCUUCGAUACUGGACAUCUUGAGUACGGGAGAGGUGAGUGGAACUCCGAGUGUAGAGGUGAAAUUCGUAGAUAUUCGGAAGAACACCAGUGGGGAAGGCGACUCACUGGCCAGUUACUGACGCUGAGGCGCGAAAGCGUGGGGAGCAAACAGG
rnacentral:rRNA from 1 species